rnacentral:rRNA from 1 species
ACUCAAAUGAAUUGACGGGGACCCGCACAAGCAGUGGAGUAUGUGGUUUAAUUCGAAGCAACGCGAAGAACCUUACCAGGUCUUGACAUCCCUAUGAAUGUGCCAGAGAUGGUGCAGGCCCCUUCGGGGGACAGAGGAGACAGGUGGUGCAUGGUUGUCGUCAGCUCGUGUCGUGAGAUGUUGGGUUAAGUCCCGCAACGAGCGCAACCCUUGAUCUUAGUUGCCAGCGCGUCAUGGCGGGCACUCUAGGAUGACUGCCGGUGACAAACCGGAGGAAGGCGGGGAUGACGUCAAAUCAUCAUGCCCCUUAUGACCUGGGCUACACACGUACUACAAUGGCCGGUACAACGGGAAGCGAAGCCGCGAGGCGGAGCGAAUCUCAUAAAGCCGGUCUCAGUUCGGAUUGCAGGCUGCAACUCGCCUGCAUGAAGUCGGAAUUGCUAGUAAUCGCGGAUCAGCAUGCCGCGGUGAAUACGUUCCCGGGUCUUGUACACACCGCCCGU